AACGAACGCUGGCGGCAUGCCUAACACAUGCAAGUCGAACGAGACCUUCGGGUCUAGUGGCGCACGGGUGCGUAACGCGUGGGAACCUGCCCUUAGGUUCGGAAUAACUCCCCGAAAGGGGUGCUAAUACCGGUUAAUGUCUUCGGACCAAAGAUUUAUCGCCUUUGGAUGGUCCCGCGUUGGAUUAGCUAGUUGGUAGGGUAAAAGCCUACCAAGGCGACGAUCCAUAGCUGGUCUGAGAGGAUGAUCAGCCACACUGGGACUGAGACACGGCCCAGACUACUACGGGAGGGAGCAGUGGGGAAUAUUGGAAAAUGGGCGAAAGCCUGAUCAAGCAAUGCCGCGUGAGUGAUGAAGGCAUUAGGGUUGUAAAGCUCUUUUAACCGGGAUGAUAAUGACAGUACCGGGAGAAUAAGCACCGGCUAACUCCGUG
rnacentral:rRNA from 1 species